UACGGGGGGGGCAAGCGUUGUUCGGAAUUACUGGGCGUAAAGGGUUCGUAGGUGGCCUGCUAAGUCAGACGUGAAAUCCCUCGGCUUAACCGGGGAACUGCGUCUGAGACUGGCGGGCUUGAGUACAGGAGAGGAACGCGGAAUUCCAGGUGUAGCGGUGAAAUGCGUAGAUAUCUGGAGGAACACCGGUGGCGAAGGCGGCGUUCUGGACUGUUACUGACACUGAGGAACGAAAGCGUGGGGAGCGAACAGG
rnacentral:rRNA from 1 species